AUCACCAGGGUGGACCUAUAGUGCUGAAGUUCUGGCCACAUGUAAGAAGAGGAAAUGUCUCUUCCACUGCUACACCAAGUAGACUAAGAUGAUGACCAACUGUGUUUAAGACUGAUCAAAGAAAAAUGGGCACUUUCCACACAUUCUGCUUCACCAAGCCUCAUGGAACAGUUGAGAACCCUGGAGGACGCAAGGUUAUCUGUCAUUUCUGUCUUCAGUGUCCCACCUCUCCCUUGCGUCAGAACUGAGAAUAAAGAAAAAAUAAAGAGAAUGCUGAUGAGUCUGUUUUCCUAACAAAGAGAAAAUGACAAUGUGCUAAACUCUAAAGACUCUUUUAAUUAGCCCAAGAGUCACUCCUACUGCUUCAUCGUGUCUACUACCUAGAGAAGUCACUCUGUGGGUUCAACAAGAAAGUUCAAGACAUGAUUAGAUCAGCAAUAGUGCCGUUGUCUUGAUGAAUCAACAGGCAGAUGUGUUUGAUUGAGUUAGCCUUUCGGUUAACUUCAUCUGGUUCAGAUGAUCUGAAGCAUUUCCAUCACUAAUUCCCUAACUGCAUAGUGGACAUAAUGAGGAGACUGGUUGGUUGUCCCAUGGGCAGUGUCAUAUAAUCAAUCUCAAGCCUACAAUGGUAAUGCCAAGAACAAUUCAGUAUAGGGACUGAAGAUUCUGG